CUGUGUGAUGGAACACAGAAGAAGGUGCACCAGAUUGGGGAGAGAAAGAUGUCCCCAAAGAUCGACCAUUAUUGUCAGGAA